rnacentral:misc_RNA from 1 species
GAAUAUCAGCAGCCCAAUUUUGUUUAAUGACAAAAAUACUAGAAAAUUCCCUAUAACUUGAAUGCACCCUGCAAAAAUUUAGAUUUGUUUCUAGAAAAACACUGUAGAUGUUCACGCAUUUAUGGCCAAUUUGAAGAUACCAAAAUGCCUAGGCACGCGAAUACAUGUAAUACGCAAAAAUAUACGAAAUAUGUAAAGUACGAUAUAUGGUAAAUGCAUGGCACAAUAUCCAGCAGGUUAAACAAUUUCAUGUACAGAAUUCUAUUUCCUCGAUUAAAUUCGUAAAGCUAUAAAUUUGCAUGAAUAUCCGCAGUCUAGUUACGAUUAGUAAUAACGAAAUUAUUAAAAAAUCCCCUAUAAUUUUAAUAGGACGAGAAUCUUUGCCCGGUGAUUUAUUCGCAAAGAUAUUAUCGGAGGCCAUAAAAGAAUCGCAGGUUGCGGGGAUUACCUCUAACCGGAUCGAUCGUUGCGGCCAUCAUCGUUAUCGAAAACUGGAAAAAUAUAGGAAAAAGAGAGAAGAAAAAAUAUACCCGGCAUGUCGCUGACAACAGGCUACAUAACGUAAAAUGUGAAAUCGAAAAUGAUUCGUUUGAACCUGUUCGACAUAUUUUUCGGGCAGGUGAAUUUUA